GCCUACGGCCAUGCCACCCUGAAUGCGCCCGCUCUCAUUUAAUCUUAGAAGCUAAGCAGGGUACGGCCUGGUUAAUACGUGGACGGGAGACCACCUUGGAAGACCAGGUGCUGCAGGCG
ensembl:rRNA 5S_rRNA 5S ribosomal RNA